rnacentral:rRNA from 1 species
GAGUGGCGAACGGGUGAGUAACACGUGGGUAACCUGCCCAUCAGAAGGGGAUAACACUUGGAAACAGGUGCUAAUACCGUAUAACAAUCGAAACCGCAUGGUUUUGAUUUGAAAGGCGCUUUCGGGUGUCGCUGAUGGAUGGACCCGCGGUGCAUUAGCUAGUUGGUGAGGUAACGGCUCACCAAGGCCACGAUGCAUAGCCGACCUGAGAGGGUGAUCGGCCACAUUGGGACUGAGACACGGCCCAAACUCCUACGGGAGGCAGCAGUAGGGAAUCUUCGGCAAUGGACGAAAGUCUGACCGAGCAACGCCGCGUGAGUGAAGAAGGUUUUCGGAUCGUAAAACUCUGUUGUUAGAGAAGAACAAGGAUGAGAGUAACUGUUCAUCCCUUGACGGUAUCUAACCAGAAAGCCACGGCUAACUACGUGCCAGCAGCCGCGGUAAUACGUAGGUGGCAAGCGUUGUCCGGAUUUAUUGGGCGUAAAGCGAGCGCAGGCGGUUUCUUAAGUCUGAUGUGAAAGCCCCCGGCUCAACCGGGGAGGGUCAUUGGAAACUGGGAGACUUGAGUGCAGAAGAGGAGAGUGGAAUUCCAUGUGUAGCGGUGAAAUGCGUAGAUAUAUGGAGGAACACCAGUGGCGAAGGCGGCUCUCUGGUCUGUAACUGACGCUGAGGCUCGAAAGCGUGGGGAGCAAACAGGAUUAGAUACCCUGGUAGUCCACGCCGUAAACGAUGAGUGCUAAGUGUUGGAGGGUUUCCGCCCUUCAGUGCUGCAGCUAACGCAUUAAGCACUCCGCCUGGGGAGUACGACCGCAAGGUUGAAACUCAAAGGAAUUGACGGGGGCCCGCACAAGCGGUGGAGCAUGUGGUUUAAUUCGAAGCAACGCGAAGAACCUUACCAGGUCUUGACAUCCUUUGACCACUCUAGAGAUAGAGCUUCCCCUUCGGGGGCAAAGUGACAGGUGGUGCAUGGUCGUCGUCAGCUCGUGUCGUGAGAUGUUGGGUUAAGUCCCGCAACGAGCGCAACCCUUAUUGUUAGUUGCCAUCAUUCAGUUGGGCACUCUAGCAAGACUGCCGGUGACAAACCGGAGGAAGGUGGGGAUGACGUCAAAUCAUCAUGCCCCUUAUGACCUGGGCUACACACGUGCUACAAUGGGAAGUACAACGAGUCGCGAAGUCGCGAGGCUAAGCUAAUCUCUUAAAGCUUCUCUCAGUUCGGAUUGUAGGCUGCAACUCGCCUACAUGAAGCCGGAAUCGCUAGUAAUCGCGGAUCAGCACGCCGCGGUGAAUACGUUCCCGGGCCUUGUACACACCGCCCGUCACACCACGAGAGUUUGUAACACCCGAAGUCGGUGAGGUAACCUUUUGGAGCCAGCCGCCUAAGGUGGGAUAGAUGA